rnacentral:rRNA from 1 species
GACGAACUGCCCAAACGUUGUUCGGAAUCACUGGGCUUAAAGGGUGCGUAGGCGGUUCUAUAAGUCAGUGGUGAAAUCCGGCAGCUCAACUGUCGAUGUGCCAUUGAUACUGCAGAACUUGAGUACAGACGAGGUAGGCGGAAUUGACGGUGUAGCGGUGAAAUGCUUAGAUAUCGUCAAGAACACCGAUAGCGAAGGCAGCUUACUAGACUGUAACUGACGCUGAUGCACGAAAGUGUGGGGGAUCAAACAGG